rnacentral:rRNA from 1 species
AGAGUUUGAUCCUGGCUCAGGACGAACGCUGGCGGCGUGCCUAACACAUGCAAGUCGAACGAGGGUUUGGAAAGCUUGCUUUCCGAAACCUAGUGGCGGACGGGUGAGUAACGCGUGAGUAACCUGCCUUUCAGAGGGGAAUAACGUUCUGAAAAGAACGCUAAUACCGCAUAACGUACAGUUACCGCAUGGUAGCAGUACCAAAGGAGCAAUCCGCUGAAAGAUGGACUCGCGUCCGAUUAGCUAGUUGGUGGGGUAAAGGCCUACCAAGGCGACGAUCGGUAGCCGGACUGAGAGGUUGAACGGCCACAUUGGGACUGAGACACGGCCCAGACUCCUACGGGAGGCAGCAGUGGGGGAUAUUGCACAAUGGGGGAAACCCUGAUGCAGCAACGCCGCGUGUGGGAAGAAGGUUUUCGGAUUGUAAACCACUGUUCUUGGUGAAGAUAAUGACGGUAACCAAGGAGAAAGCUCCGGCUAACUACGUGCCAGCAGCCGCGGUAAUACGUAGGGAGCAAGCGUUGUCCGGAUUUACUGGGUGUAAAGGGUGCGUAGGCGGCUAGGCAAGUCAGACGUGAAAACCAUGGGCUCAACCUGUGGACUGCGUUUGAAACUGUUUAGCUUGAGUGAAGUAGAGGUAGGCGGAAUUCCCGGUGUAGCGGUGAAAUGCGUAGAGAUCGGGAGGAACACCAGUGGCGAAGGCGGCCUACUGGGCUUUAACUGACGCUGAGGCACGAAAGCAUGGGUAGCAAACAGGAUUAGAUACCCUGGUAGUCCAUGCCGUAAACGAUGAUUACUAGGUGUGGGGGGUCUGACCCCCUCCGUGCCGGAGUUAACACAAUAAGUAAUCCACCUGGGGAGUACGGCCGCAAGGUUG